AUUGAACGCGGGCGGCAGGCCUAACACAUGCAAGUCGAACGAGUGGCGGACGGGUGAGUAAUGUCUGGGAAACUGCCCGAUGGAGGGGGAUAACUACUGGAAACGGUAGCUAAUAACGCAUACCAUCGGAUGUGCCCAGAUGGGAUUAGCUAGUAGGUGGGGUAACGGCUCACCUAGGCGACGAUCCCUAGCUGUGCUGAGAGGAUGACCAGCAACACUGGAACUGAGAAACGGUCAAGACGCCUACGGGAGGAAGCAGUGGGGAAUAUGGCACAAUGGGCGCAAGCCUGAUGCAGCAAUGCCGCGUGUAUGAAGAAGGCCUUCGGGUUGUAAAGUACUUUCAGCGAGGAGGCGGUACCCACAGAAGAAGCAACGGCUAACUCCGUGCCAGCAGCCGCGGUAAUUC
rnacentral:rRNA from 1 species